UAUAUGAGUAUCCACUUAAAACUUGUUUGCCCACGCAGUCGAGGUUUUAGUUCUCAUCAUUUUCGUAUUUAUUUGUUUCUUCUGCAGUUAAUGACCUCAUGCUUUGGAUGCAUAUGAUAUACCAUAUCAUUAAAAGUAAGUCCAGGUUUCUCAGAUACCUUGCCUGGAACUUUCACACAAAAUUGUCUAGAAUAUUCGAGCUUGUUUCGUUAAUGUAGGAACUUUGAAGGGAAAGAGUCCAUGUUUCAAGUGCUAUUGCAAGCAACCAAUAAAGGUAUUGAUUCACUAUUCCUGGAGAUUAGUGAAGAUGUUCUUUUGUUUUCCAGCUUUGAGACACUAGUUGGAUAUGAAAAGGUGUUCCUCAUAUUUGUGAUGACAACAAUGGAAAUUCUUUAUGUUCUUAUCAGAAAGACCCCGGUGCAAAGUUUGGAUUCAUGCUUCAAAUUCAGCACAAAAUGAAUCAUUUAUUUCCAUCAUAUAUUUAAUGGCUUCAUUGAUUUGGAUGCAUAUGAUAUACCAUAUCAUUAAAAGUUAAAGGAGAUUGAUGAUCCUACAUAUCUAUGGUGAUUAUUUGUAUCUUGAUUAAGCACUGAGACUUCAAGAGAUCUAACAGAAAACUGGGAACCGACCUGGACAAGAAGAAGCUGAUUUCAGGCAGGCUAAAGUAUUUGUACCGUCCCAUAGACAACUGGUUCCUCGAAAUGGCAAGUUCUACCUAUCUCAUUGUUUCUUGCUUAAAGAGUUGAUAUCAUGGACCUGGACGUCAUGCUAAGAGUUUCAUGUUUAUUGACUUAUUGAGUCAUCAAUAUCUUUCUGCCUAUCUCGGUACCAUUGAUCAUGUGAUAUGUAUAUAGAAAUAGAUCAACACCAGGACACUUGGAAAAUAUGACUGCUUAUACAUAGCACUUACAACUUUGUUAAGGCAAUGUGAAUAAACUAUUGUCCUUCUGGAGCUCUGCUAAGUUUUGCAUGAUCUUCAGAAACCUACCAACAUGGAGAGGGAUUGUUAUCUACUCCGAGAUGGAAAUCAAUCCUCCCAUGUUGUUGGCAUGUCUCUCUCAGUCAAUGCGUAAGGUAGGUGUCCCAGGUUUUUGGCCAGGUGAUUUCAAGUUGAUGAUUUAAGCGCUCAUGUGACGUCGUACGAUAUUUUCGAGAGAUUCAGUAGCAAUCAAAUUUUGUUUUAUGGUAAUUAGCUUGUCAGAAGGUUUGAUAAUACACAACAAAUGAAUGCUCCUGCUGCUAUAAUGAGCUCAAUUUUGGUUGUUGUAGUGCUUAACAAAAUCUCCAAGGUUGUAUUCAAUUCAAAUUCGAUUGAUCUGUGCUUGGUUCCUUGC